rnacentral:rRNA from 1 species
CUUGACNUCCUUUGACCNCUCGAGAGANCGAGCUUUCCCUUCGGGGACAAAGUGACAGGUGGUGCAUGGUUGUCGUCAGCUCGUGUCGUGAGAUGUUGGGUUAAGUCCCGCAACGAGCGCAACCCUUAUUACUAGUUGCCAGCAUUCAGUUGGGCACUCUAGUGAGACUGCCGGUGACAAACCGGAGGAAGGUGGGGAUGACGUCAAAUCAUCAUGCCCCUUAUGACCUGGGCUACACACGUGCUACAAUGGAUGGUACAACGAGUCGCGAAGUCGUGAGGCCAAGCUAAUCUCUUAAAGCCAUUCUCAGUUCGGAUUGUAGGCUGCAACUCGCCUACAUGAAGCCGGAAUCGCUAGUAAUCGCGGAUCAGAACGCCGCGGUGAAUACGUUCCCGGG